UACGUAGGGUGCAAGCGUUAAUCGGAAUUACUGGGCGUAAAGCGUGCGCAGGCGGUUUGCUAAGACAGGUGUGAAAUCCCUCGGCUUAACCGGGGAACUGCAUCUGAUACUGGAUGGCUUGAGUUUGGGAGAGGGAUGCGGAAUUCCAGGUGUAGCGGUGAAAUGCGUAGAUAUCUGGAGGAACACCGGUGGCGAAGGCGGCAUCCUGGACCAACACUGACGCUGAUGAGCGAAAGCCAGGGGAGCAAACGGG
rnacentral:rRNA from 1 species